rnacentral:rRNA from 1 species
UACGUAGGGUGCGAGCGUUGUCCGGAUUUAUUGGGCGUAAAGAGCUCGUAGGCGGUUUGUCGCGUCGGCCGUGAAAUCUCCACGCUUAACGUGGAGCGUGCGGUCGAUACGGGCAGACUUGAGUUCGGUAGGGGAGACUGGAAUUCCUGGUGUAGCGGUGAAAUGCGCAGAUAUCAGGAGGAACACCAAUGGCGAAGGCAGCUCGCUGGGACGGUACUGACGCUGAGACGCGAAAGCGUGGGGAGCGAACAGG